ensembl:lncRNA
CCCGCACUGCUUCUGUUGGAAACCACCGGGAUGGGGAGGGCCCCACGCGGAGGGGCCUCCGAGCAGCGCGGAACCUCCGCGGCCGCGCAGUGGAGAGGAGGCGCUGCCCCGGCUUCGGUGUCCGCUCAGCGCGGAGCUUCACCCACUUAAACCCCCUCUUGGUGCGCUCUUUUAAGCUCGGCGGGCCCGGGCAGGAUGUUUAUACUGAGCAAUGUAAACACGGACUCGGGGGUGCUUUAAUAAAAAGAAAUCGGCGAAAACUCCCUCUGCCUCUCGAAAUGCCCUUUUCUGCCUCCGCCGCCGGUCCGGGGAUGGGAACGGGCUUCGGUCCCCUCUCCCGUUCCGAGGUUUCUUUGGGGCUCUUUCGCUUUCUUUCUUUCUUAUAUAUAUAUAUAUAUAUAUAUUUAACUUUAGGGGGGAGGUUGUUUAUAAAUCUGCGCUUCACAAACGGCUGAAUACCGAGAGCCCCGUGCUCGGCUCGCUCGGAUGCCGCACACACAUUCACCGGGCUGGGGAAGGGGGGGGGGGGAACGGGACGGGAAGGAGAACGGGAAGGAAUAGUCCUUACCGCCCCCCCGCUUUCCUCCCAACCCUCCAGAAAAAAAAAAAUAAAAGCCCUUUUCGAGCAUCUUCCCAUCGGGAGGGCUGUCGCUCGCUCGAGGUUUCUGGCCAGCAGCUCCAAGGACUGUCACAGCCAUGUUGUGCGUUUGGGAACGUCAUGCAAUGGGGCUUUAACUGUGAAUGGAGGACAUCCUGGCCCCACUAUGGGUGGGAUAAGAACAACUCUCACCUCAAGGGGUGCACUGAUGACAGAGCCAGCUCCCACCAUCUGUGGAUUUCCUCAUCCUGGCAGCUCAGUGGGGAGCAGCAGGUCCUAGCUAAAUGCCUUGUGGUCCAGAUGCCAUGGACCAUCCCCCCUGGAUUCAAUAAGAGCAGUGCCCCUACAACACCAUGGUGAGCAGUUGCAUGGAGGUUUGAGCCAUCCCAGGGUGGAGAUCACCUUCUCCAUCCCCACAUUUGCCAUAAGCCCAAACCCAGCCCCAUCACAUGCAAUGAUAAAAAGGGAACUGGCAGCACAAAACUCGUUGUGAUUUCCAGGCUGAUGUCUGCACAACCCUACUGGCUUCUCCGAAAGAACCAAGAGACACAAACCUGUUCUGUCCUAAGGUUUCCCAUUAAGCUAAUUACUGCUAAUUGUACCACUUGGCUAUCUCACCAACCGCACCCUGAGCAGGGCUGAUAGGGUAUCAGUGAGAUAAGAAGCACUCGAAUAGCACAGGUAACAGAACUUUGGGAGGGGUUAUCACCCCUACCACCCUCCUUUGGGGGACACUGAGGUCAUAAGGAUGUGUGCAGGGGCUGGCACACAACUAUAAGCCUUUCAGGAAAUGCUACCGAGGGGUUUUGGUGACUGUUCUCUGCAAGUUGCAGAGAAGCAAGCUGGCAUUCAUUUCAUAGUAAUUCCUUUAAAUUCACUUAGCAUGCGGAUUAUUUGUAUGAGCUAUUUUUGUUGCUGUUAACACAACACUGUGGAAAUGGAGGUUUCAUUAUUUCUCCAUUUUUUCCCCCCUCCCACAGAGAAAUAAAUGCUGUUCUUUUAACAAAUGCUGUAUUUCUCACUUCAUUUCUGAUUUCUCCCCAUCUCUGCUGGCCUACCUGAAGCAAUUCAGCUCCCACACUGGCACUAGGUAGGGAUUACUAUCACCUGCUUACUAAAGAAGAGACUUGGACAAGGUGUUCUUAUUUGAAAACAUUUUUGGUACAUGACUUGCAAUAAGAUACUUGGAAUUUUCACACUCAGAGAUAUAUUUUGUUAGGUGUAUAGUCUCCCCAGCACAUGCAGCUUCUGGCUGUGAGUGUAUAAAAGCACAUCACAUCUGGCAGGUAAAACACACUGGCCACAUCAACACCUACAUGUUGUCUUGCACUCAUAUGUUUCAGAGCUUGCUGAUGCAACUACUGCACCUCAUAGAGGCAGGUGUGCUACACAGCGUGGCUGAACUGGGCAACUCAUGGCUGAGUCCCCUCACCCGAGGCUUGGGAUGUUGUUCAUGUCCAUUGCUCCAUGUAUAAGAGCAACACUGGAAGUCUGGAAAGCCAGUUAGGCAGACAGACAGACAGGACAUUUUCUUCUGUAAGAUGUAACGAAAUAAAUCUUUAGCAAGAACAAACCUUCACUUCCUCUCUCAGUCACAAACCCCAGGAAAGAAAAAUAAAUCACAACGUGAGCUCACCCGCUCUCGGAGGAUACCACGUUACUCCUGAAGGCCACCACUCAAACUGGAGGUGUCCGUCCCUCAGAGAGAUCAACGAAUGCAGCAAAUUAAUGAGCAGCAUCAGCCCAAGCUUUGACAUGAAACCAGCCCUGAAAACAAAGCCAUGUGCAGUGCCAUGAGCCAGGCAAUCCUAAUUCUCCAUGUCACCUUCCCAUUCCGUGGCCUGUUGGUGGGACAAAGAGUUGGUACCCAUGAAAUCACCAUUUUAAGUGUGGCCAAAGUCAAGAGCGGAUAAAAGCCUGCCACGAUCAGUCUGAAUCACGGUUGAUGUGAUGGCCAGCAAUGGUCAGGAGUGGGACUGUGCUGCUGGUGUGCUCCCAGCAUUCAUCCCUUGGGCACUGAGGGCCAAUGAGUAUCUCUGGUUCAUCCCAAAACUCUGCCCCUCGUCUCCCCUAAUCCACCUAAUGCCUUUUCAACUGGAACCGGAAAAAGCAGCAGCAGGGUGUGUUUGUUUUUCUCAAUUGGCCGUGGCAAAGAGGUAGAAAUACACCUCCAAAUAGCAUUUCCUCCUCUCCUGAGAGAAGUCUCCGUAUGAGAGCUGUGUUGCUCAGGAAGCCUCAAACCAUCUCUGAAUGUGACCAAAUUAUAACAGCUGUGUCUCCGGUUGACACAGGUCUAAGAUAAAGACGGAUUGACUUUAAGCUGGGAGUACAAAACUGCACAGAAGCAGCGAUGUGGAUUUACACCAGAUCGCUUUUAUUCCUUCAAGGAUACUCAGGGGGAGAUGAACCAUAAGAUACCCACAAAUCGUGCUGAAGUCAGAAGACAUUUGGCCCAGACACUUCAGGGGGCUGAAAUGAGACUUUCCUCCUCCUUCUUCUUCUUUUUUUAAACAAGAGAUCUUUGCAGUUUUGAAACAAUCCGUACAGUUAGCAUUGAAGAAAGUGUAAUUAGACACUUGGAGGACUGGAAGAAAUUAACUCCAACCACAGGCUGUCACUCAGACCAUUAUUUAAUUAUUCUCCCCAAAUGCGCAAAGCACUUAGUUUUAGAAUAACAGGAAAGAAGUCUAACUCCUCACCAACAGCUCAGUCUCUGGAUGGGGACACAUGCACAUAAAGCCAAUGGGCUCCCAAGCCAUAGGAUGGGGACAGGAACAAGCGCCUUGGGCACAACUUUGGGCUCUGAAGGAUGUGAUUGAUGCCUGAAUGGCUGGAACCCAGUCAACGGGAGUGCCCAGCCCAAGGUGCAACAGGCUGCGGGAGAGAAGAUCGCCUUCAGUUUCCAACAUGCCAAGGAAACCACUGAGAAAUUGCUGUUUUCCUUCUUCUGCAGCACCGGGCAGAGCCGUUGACUCACCCCUUGCUACAGAAGCCUGGCUAGAAAGAGAUUAUUGUGAUUUCUGACUGUUUCUUUCCUAACUACAAAAGGCCCCAUUCAUCUGGGCUAAUUUUGACGGGAGAGCAAGGGGUAUCAGUAGCAUGAACUGUAUCUGAGCGUCUCGACCGCAUUUCAGCAAGCCAUGCUUGUUGGCCAGUUCCAGCCAGUGAAAUGGAUAUCCUCCAUUUCAAGCUUUUUAGUGGAUCGUUUCUCUGGUUCUAAACAGAGGUAUCUUUUCUGGCCGUGGCAAGUUUGAGAAGUACUGACGAAGCAGAGACGGCCAUUUUCAUGGCAGGAACAAGAGGCCAUUUAAAAAGGGGGAAAGGGCUGUUCUGCUCGAUCAGUGCACCAGCAUUUGUCUACCUACAUGCACCAUGCAUGUGCACCGAGGCUGGGCCCAGAACAGUGAAUCUCUGCCUUAUUUCCAAGGUCUGAACAAAACAUACUUUUAUUUUUAUUUUUUGAAAAUGCUAAAUUUGCUUAAUUGCGAGCCUUUGUGGAGCUCAGCUGGGACUGCCUGCGUGUGUGGGAAGGGCUGGAACGUAAUUGCUUUCAGCAGAUAUCACUGUAGUCUGUAAUUAAAACAUAUGAGGCUGCCAGCUUCAGAUUUUCUAAGUGAUUUCAUCUGUAUUUGGGUGAUCACCUCUCUCUGAGAGGCUCAUAUUAAAUGAUAUUUCAAGUUCCAGUGCACCAAAUGGGUGAAAAACAAUUUUGUCCUCUCCUUCUUGUAGUCUCCAAGCAAGUCACCUAGGCAGCUUGGAGAGGCAGAGCUCAGACCUCAUACGCACAUCCCUUCACCAGGGAAAUGCUUGGUGAAAGCUGCUCAAGAAGUGCUGCUCCAGAGACAGAGCGGAAGGUGUUGAUAAAGCUUGUUAAAGAAAAAGGAAGGGGGGAAAAAAGGCUAACAAAAAAAAUCUGGCACCUCCUAAAUCAGAGUGACAAUUUCAGUGCAGUGUUUACAUGAGGUAGUAAAAAUAAAUUGCCUGAGACUGAUUAUACCCACAUGGCACUCUAAAGGCAACAGGGAUGUCCCCCAGUAUCAGAAACCCAACACGGGGGAAAUACGUGAUGAUGGCAACCCUCAGCCCAUUGGGGCCAGCACUGCUUUGUUACUUGCCUCAAUAGGUGGAAGCAGCAGUGAGAAGAGGGAUCUGCAACUCCCCACAGAUAGACAUGAUCGCCCCAGGAGCCAUGGUUGGCUUACAAGGCCACUGCUGUUGAGUCCUACAAGGGCUGUAGACAAAGGAGCGUGUGGGUUUGGGGCAUCCUCAAGCUUGGACAACAUACGCCUGCUGGAUCAAAAUGGGUAAUGGAAGAAGGCAAAGAUGAUAGCAUCACUGUUAGAAUUGUAAUGAGUCACAAAUGCUAUUUUGAUGGUUUUCUUUGAAAGACAUGCACAAGAGCCAACCGAUGUAAUUGAAGAUCUCCAAGGCUUUGUAAUCAGCACGGCCACAAACGAAGGCAAACCUACUUUCAUGUGGUAGAAUACAAGAGGAGGUUCCCCAUGAAAAUUAAAAAAAAAGGGGGGGGGGGGGUGGGGAAAGAAAGAGAAAAAAGAAAUUUUGAAGGGUUUUGUUUGUAGUGAUACCAGGACAUGAAGGACAUGCAGCCCCCAGAAUGACUGCAACAGCCUUCACGGCUGAGAUGUUUAAACCUAAGGAAUAGGAUGGGUCACUCAGCAGACAGUUUUUAUUCUUGGCAAGUAAGCUCUGAGCAUGGGGAAAGUGAGCAUUUUUGGCCUAAGUGUGACCACCUGGGACUGAUUUGCUCAGAGGAGCAGGAAACACCAUGCAGUUGACCUGAUAGAAAUAGCUGCUAUUUCCUUUGCAUCCCAUCACCACGGGGCUGUGAGGUGCACCGUACCCCUGUGUGCAUCCAGUGUUUGCUGAAAAACAUCAGGGAAAUGGUGAGAGGGUGGAUUAAUCUGCCUGAAGAAGUUUGUGAUUAAUGCAACUUGGAUGGUGCUGUGGGAAGGCGGAUGGCUUGAAAAGAUGGAAGGAAGUCUGAGGCUGUCCUGGCUUGAUACUAUAUAUGGUCUUUGGUCAGUUCUGCUUCAGAGGCUGCAGCCAGAAUCAGAUUUUUACUGUAUUUCUUUUGAAAGCGGAAAAAUGCUUGAAUAAUUUCACCCAGCUCAAAGAGCUGAGACAGAUAGGUCCAACAGUAAUCCAAGUGGUGAUGGAUGGGUCCACCAGCGAUCCCCGCUAUGAACUGGCUGCACCAGCAGGAUGAUUUCUCAGAGCACGAGCUGUGAGUUUGACCAAGUCCCUUCCAGCAGCCCUACUUAGGCUGCAAAGCCCCAGAGAUUUGUGCUUUCAUGCAGAUCCAACCUGCACUGAUAACCAGCACUGCUGAACGCGCUGGAACAUCCCCCCUCCCCACCCCUUUUUACAUCUGCUCUACAUUUGCAUCUCAGAAAUUAGAGAACUGAGCUAUGCAGAAUUACAGAGCACAGGCUGGAGUAUGGAACUGAUUGGGUAUUCAGGCUAAAUAAGACGAGUUUAAAGAUCUUUCCAGGAAAUUGAGUGGAACACCCAAACUGACAUUCAGUAUUAAAUAUUAUAUUUGUGCAGUUGCUCUCCAUAGCCCGUUGGCACUGAACAUCUGGGAGCACGAUUUAUAACAUACAGAAACUGAAUACCUGCUCAAAAUUAUGCUCAUCAGAGCUCAGAAAUUAAAAUAUUACCCUGUACACUCCGAGCCACUCCAUUCCUAAAAGGUAAGGCUAUUAAAAUAUGAUUAGCUGAGCCAUAUCUGGUCUCAGAAAUGUCAUACACCAUUACAACUGAAAAGACUUUGAUGCAAUGCUGUUGGCAAAGCCCCCUGCUUGAUCAGCAGCAAGAUGCCUAAGAAUGAACCUUGCAAAUACUUGCCCCAGCAUCAGGAGGGAAAUGCAGAAGAGAAGGGGAGCUGCUGGUUGGAGAUGCUGGAGUGGUUUGGGUCUUCUAUUUCGGGUAGGCAAGAGCUGAAAGCUUGAAUGCUAUUAUUAUUAUUAAUAUGGAAAGAGUCCCGCUGCCCUUUGCUGUCCAUUGCAUUGGGCUUCUUAUCCUUGCCCAGUACAGAGGUAGCCCCAUUGCUGUCUCCAGCCAUCGCUGCUCCCGGCCCUGUGCUGCCACAUUUCCAAGAGCACUCCAUGGGUGGUCGGGGUCACAUUUCCCCUUUUGUUGGAGAAUAAAAUCCAAACAACAGCCACAGAAAACCUGUAGGCACUGGGCUCAGGUUGGGGUGAUUACAAUCCUCUGCUUCUUGCAAUGCAAGAAAUUAUAUAUGCAUAUAUAGAAACGCAUGCAUAUGCCUUGUAGAAUACCAGUUAGAAUGAUAGAAUUAUAUAGGGAUAUAAUGACAUAUUAUCUAAUCUAUACAUUAAAAUGAUGUUAUAUUUAUGUAAAAUCUUUCGCAAUACAUGAUUGUCUCUCCCGGUGAGGCAUUGAACAGCAUUCACCAUUAAACAUUUCUAUGCUGGUAUCUCUGUAAGGGCUCAGCUGGGGAUGGUCCCCCCAGGUCUGGGGCACUCAGCUCUGGCCAAAGCCUUCCCUAGGGCUGGCCAUGUAAUCCCAGCCAUGAUGCCUCAGCCCUAUUACCCUUUGCCCACCCCACAGCCAGCAGAAUUCCCUUAUAUUGAAGCCUGCAUGCCCCGGCCCUGCGGGAGCUGCCUCUCCCCGCCUUUGUCAGGGCUUAUUACUCCAUGUUUUCACACUUAUCCCCAAGGUGUUGAACUCACCCUGAAGGUUAAUUAGUAAUUUAUUGCGCUGUCAUCAGUUGGAGGCUACUAAUGGCUUCAAUUUAGCCCUAGGGCUCUUUUUUUUUUUUUUUUUUUUUCUUUCUUCCUCCCUUCCUUUCCUCCUGCCUGCUCUGGAGAAGCUGGAAGCUGCAGUGCAUGGGAAAGCAGCAGAACUACCAGCUGGAAAUAUGGUCUCAAGGGGCUGAAGGUGGCUCUGGGUGCUGUCCUGUAUCCCUGGCCCGGUCAGCAAGAAAGCAAUUUAAAUCAAUUCACCAGAACGGCAAAGCUGAGAGCACGUGCCUGUGCCUGUGCUUAGCAACAUCACCAGCUGCUAUAGCAGGACAGCCUGCAUAGCAUAGAGGAUGGCACACCGACCCCACCACCUGACCUCUGGGCAUCUGCUUUUUGCACUGCACACCUGCAAGGCUCAUUGCUGAGCAAUGGGAGCCUCUGUGGUUGGAGCUGAUGAGGGAUGGGUGGCAAUAAGGAGCUGUUCUGCCCAUCCCAUAAUGCCCCUCCAGCAUGCCUCAAUUUCUCUCCCACCCCAUCAUAGUGAUACCAAACAGAGCCCCCAGGAUGGCACACUGUGCCCCCCUGCUGUGUGUCACCCCAUGUCCCCACCAGCCCUGUCCCGAUGAAGUACCUCUUACAAAACAGCCAUGCACUGAUUUCUUUUCUUAAUUAUUUUUUGGAAAAUAACUGAAUAACCCCAUUUCCUGUGUUUAUACAGACCAUUAGGUAAACCAGCCACGGGAAGGGGGAAGAGAAGGGAUGCAGGAUGGAAGCGAGCUCUGCAGCCAGGUCAGGGAGGGUGGGGGGGGGGGUGGGUUAGCUGCAGGGGAGGUGACACAUGAGUGUGUUCCACUGGGGACAGCUGGCAUGUGAGGCCUCACCUGGGUGACAACAGCAGAAUGGUGCCUGGCAACCCACUGGGCUCAGUGCAUCCUCCUUGCUGGACUGGGAUUCAAAGGGGAGAAGGCUUGGGAGAAGGGAAAUUGAGUGAUAUUAGGGGAAAGGGGACAAAUUAGACCUCAUCAAGCAUGCAGCUUCUACAAAAAGGGCUGUGAUGUGGCUCUUGCAACGUGCACAAGCCAAUGGCAGAGCAAGGCAGCAGGAUGCUCACGUCAGGUAAGAGUGAAAGGGAAAGGUGCAUUUCUCAGAAGAAUGAGACCCAAUUGCCCACCAGAAAGGAAGGAGGUAUGGACAUCACUUUGGAUUUUGAUGAAAAAAAAAAAUAUUAAGAAAUAAAAGAAAACCUAUAUUUAGCUUCCGACUUCAGACACAGCGUGAGGAUUCCUAUAGUAACAUCUGCUAUUCCCCUCCCCUGUUUAAUUUAUGGCCGUUAACUUUAGGGCUAAGGACAGUUUAUGGAAAAAAACACCUGCUUUCUCCUACUCCCAGGGCAAGGGUGGAAUUUUCUCUGACUCUGCAUCCUAAAUAAAGCUCCGUUCCAGGCCCCGAUGAUUCAUAGCACGGCUCAUGCACACAUGCCUUAUGUUAGGAGGCCCUGUCAGAUGCUCAUGCCCCUUUCUCCAGGACUCAAGCACAGAGUUCAUUUAUACACAUCACUGGGGCCAUUCUGGGGGAAACCUGAGCCCAGAGGUCCCACCGUGCCCACCUCCUGCAGAAAAGCUCUGUCCACGUUAUGGUCAGUGGGAUUGCAGUAAAUCCUCCCAGUCUGGGCCUGAUUUUGCUGCUUCCCAGCAAAGUGCAUCUUCUCCAAAUGCACCUUAAACAUGCACCGAGCUCAGCCCUUGCUCUGCUUGCUCAGCAAGGCAGUAUGUCAUCCCUCCAAAAAAGAUCCCUGGCUCUGCUGCUGUCAGCAUGAAAGAUGGCCCCAAGCUUUCACUCAGGGUUGCUUGUCAAGAAGUAAAACACAUAAGGAAAAAAAGAUAAAGCUGAAAAGAAAGUAAAAAUGGGAAUUGUUGGCAGCAAAAGGAAGAUAAAACACGCACGCUCAUCCAAGCUCAUGUCUGAAAACUGAUAGGCAGCACUCACACAGCAUACAAAGACCUCCCACAGAGUGCAGUGCUGUGAUCUGGAGCAUCCUGCAGACCUGAAGCCCCAACGAGACUUUGCCCACCCCACGAUGCACCCUUAUGGGGUGGGGGCUCCUCAUCAUUCAGAGCUGGGAGCAAAGCGUGGUGGUGGUGGUGGAGAGAAGGCUUUGACUAAUCUUGUAACCUUUCCUUUUAGUGUUUAAGAGAACCGAAGUCUGUUUACAAUAAAACAGAGUGAUAUUUUUCAUCCUUCCAAAUGGAACAAGGGUUAUAUAAACAAAGUAACCUCAGACACAGCAAACACCUGUUGGAGGGAACUGGCUCACAAAGACACGCACAAGCUAUCUGUCUAUCUAUCAAGGCCUCCCGUUGACUUGUGGUCAAGUUCAAGUUGAAGUGCACGGCACAGAUUUGCUGAUGGAAGAAGGCUGCGAUAAGCAAAAGCAUUAGUGAGCGCCCAUGGUUUCUGCUCCAGAGGUUAGCAGAGCAGUAAGGAAUAGUUUAGGUCUGAAUGUAACCAAAUAAUUUCUCAGCCAGAUUGGAGCAGUUUUCCCUGUUCUCUGGUAUCUCACUUCCAAGAAGAAACCCCAAAUCAGGAAGUUAUGGAAUAAACUGUUGCAAAUCUCCCUGUCUUCCUUCUACUCCCUAGCUCAUGUUUCAGUCCUGCACCAAAAUAUGUAGGCUUUGAUUUCUUCCAAACUGCUGCGGUUUUGAUUUUUCUCCCGAAGUAAUCAAACUGAAUGCAACUGUGUGCACAUGAUCCUACAGGCAGGCCAAUGAAAUCAUUAAGCCUUUGGGCUUCAAUGGUGUCUUGUGGUGGUGGGUUCCGCAAAUUAAUUAUGCAUCUCUUGCCACAGUAUGAGGCUCCACCGUAUCUUUGCUAAUUACCAUCCUAAUGCAGCAAGAUCAGCUGUGUCAUUUCCUUUUAUUCUGCCUUUUUUUUUGUUUCACAAAGGUUUCUCAAAACCACCCGGAACUGUGCCAGGAAGUCCUACACCUGUGAUCCAGCAAUGACUUAGGGUGAGCUCUAAAGUAAUGCAGAAAUCACAGAAUCACAGAAUUGCAGGUGUUGGAAGGGACCUCCAGAGUUCAUUGAGUCCAACCCCAAAUGGAAGACCUCCAACAACCCUGGCUUGGCUUGCUGUGCUGUCGGGUCCUCCUGACAUCCCUUCAGCGCAGAAGCCUGUGGGGAGAUAAUCCAGGAGAUACCGCAGCAUCCCGCAGUAGGGAGGUUAGUUUGAUGACUUGCUUUAUUGUGUGGCAUGAUUGGAAUUGGUGAAAUGAGCGCAGACUUUUCCAAAAGCCAGUCAGAAGAAGACGUAGCCUUCUCCAUCCUGAGGAAUGACAUUCCCCAUGAACCGGGAGAAGAAUUUUCAAAGCUAUUCAAAGUCAUGACAGUUUGAUCCUCAUUUUAGUUUUUCCUCUUCUAAUAGCAGGACAGAGAAAUAUUAUUCAUUCCAGCACACCACGAAGCAGAUUUCUCAUACAACAGCCUAGCUCCACUGAAGCCGUGGAUGCAUGCCAGCCUGCGCCUAUUCAAGCAUCUAGCUUCAUAUCUUUGCAUCUUGGCUUUCAGCAGGUCUGCCUCAAUGAAGUUGAGGAAGACUCCAGCAGAGCACCAACCACCCAUCCACCUGACAUCCAGUCCCAGUUGAUAACCUGACGUUGCACACUGGGACUGGAGCUGAUAACAGGCAAAGAGAAAGGCUCUCUUCCACUCUGUGCAUGGUUGUAACUCUUCCGAAAGCUUUGCUAAAAAAACAUUUUCCCACCUGUAAUGAGAGAGGCUGCCUUGUUUGCCUGGGCUUUGUAAGUGCGUGCUGACAGGUUGUGUGUAAUGUCAUCUCCCUGUCCUUAGCCCUGUUCCAAGUUCGGAAAUCCAGAGGGAGGAAUGGGGACUGCUGUGCUGGAAGGGGAGGGAGCUGUUUCAUUUCUAAGUUUUUGCAUCAUUGCCUGAUUUUUCAGAAGCUUUCAGACACCAAGAAAAGCAUAGUUUAUCCCAUACAUUGCACUCAAACCAAACCAAACAAUAACCUGAAUCAACCUUUAUCAUCGUAUCAUAGAACCAUAGAGUCACAGAGUCAUACAAUCAUUUGAGUUGGAAGAGACUUUAAAGGCCAUCUAGACCACCUCCCCUGCAAUGAGCACUGAUAUCUACAGCUACACAUCAAACCAAGACACGAUGCUUCUGUGGCAAAGCAGGGCAGAGAGGGUUGCUCUUGGUCCUAACCCAACAGGUUGAUAUAGAUGAUGGAAGUCAUGUUGUUCUCCAGGCCAGCAAAUAUUUGUGGUCACUUGGUACUCAGUUCACUAUCAACACACAGUGGUCUCUGCACUCAUUUUACAUAAAAUUGGCCAAGUGUUUUUACAUGUCUAUCUCUAUUCUAUGUAUUUUAUGUAUUAAUUAAUGCUUACAACCCACUUGGGUCAGAAAAAUGAGUCUUGGAGAAAGUGAUUUCUUAGCUGCACAUUUCUCAUCAUUUCCAGAUCUUGCUCCACCUCACUGACUUUGCAUGAUGUUGCACAGCCAUUCCCUUCCCCUUCUCUUGAAUCCGUUCUCAGCACACGGGCAUUUCACAAAGACACCCACUGCCCAGCUGUAUCAGGCCUUGGCCACACACAACUGCUCUUAAUUUGUACCAGUCUCUCUUAUCUAUCUAGUCAGCAGUAUUUAAGGAGCAUAUUAACUGCAAUUUGGCUUCCUGGCUGCGUGUAGGACAUGCUUUCUGCCCUGUUCUUUGCUCUUUUGGUUUAUCUGACUUUUCUGUGGAACACUCCAUGUACAUGCUGGGAAGCAGACAGUAAGUCACAAAGCUCUUAACAUUUUCUCUUUGUGAAGAAAUCUGGCAUUUCAUCUUUAAAUACUUAUUCAACUUGUUCCUUAGUAUAGUCUUAAUAUAGCUCCUUUACUGCGUUCCAGUAACAGCCAGGCACCAUGUCAUAAGAGUGACUCAUCUUCUUAUCCAAGACUAUACAUACUCCUUACAAAAACACACAGCUGAGCACUCUUAAAUAUUUAUCUCAUCCCCAGAAGAGAGAUAGGCCCAGUAUCGUUAGGUCUGAGCCAGCGUUUGUGUCCAGGUUUAGAUCCCAAUUUCUCAGCUUAUGCUGUACUUUCUAGGAGGGUCAGAUCAGAGCAACUCUACUCAGAAGUCUUUGUGCUGUUUCCUGCACAGGGUUGGAAAAGAAUUCCCAUUCCUGUCUUGGGAACUUGGAUGAACAGAGCAAAGCAAGGACACAAGGGUUCUUGGAAAGCCAAGCUGUGAAGGUACAGACUAAGAAAAAAAAUAUAAAAAAAGCAGACUGGAAUAAAAUAACUGCUCCUUGAGCUGCCUCUUACAGAUCCUUGUUGGGCAGGCUGGCUGCCUGGGGAUGGAGUUCCACACAGCUCUGUGCCUCUCACUGGUAUCUAUAGGCUAACGCGGGAGCAGCCACUGUAACUCAACUUCAAGCAUUAGGGGCAGGUGAUCCAUACUGAUCCAGGCAGCCCUACCAAAGGAUCACAAGCCCGGACGUGCUCUGGAUGAGCAGCUAUGACUGCUUUGUCUGCAUCAGGUCCUGGAGAGCUCAGCCACAGCCCUGGGCACCACCUCCUGGCUCUGUCCCUCCACCUCCACCUUCCCCCUCCGGUUCCCCAUUCCAGCACAACUGAGCUUGGCUCUGCCUCCCCAUUCUUCAGACAACAACAUGCAGCUCUGCCUAAGCUGCUGAGAAACCUUGAGCUGUGUUUCAAAAACCCCACUCCCACCGCAGCCAGCGUCAGUGGCUGCAAGCCUCACCCAAGCCAACGGAGCAGCACGGAAAGACACCACCUGACUUACUUGGCUCUAACCCUUUGAUUAUUGACUUCAAUGGGAAGAAACGCUGGGCCUCCAUGACUUCUUGCUGACCCCAGAAGAGUUUAAGCAACAAACUGUUCUCUUGUCCUCUGCAGCUCCCAGAGGAGCUCCCAGUGGAACAGACCACGAGUGUGUGCAAGGUAAGCAGCCCAGCGUUUGGAGAGCACAACAACGCCAAGGCUGAGAAUGCUAAUUGUUCUCCAUUGCCCCCAGUGAUUUUAGCAUUUCAUAACUCCUCUGCUGGCUGACAGCUGGAUUCUUCUCUAAUUAGAAACCAGUUGUAGCUGAAAAAUCAGACAUUUCCUGGAAUUUAAAUAGCCAGUUUUCCACCAGUCAGAAUCCAGCAACGCAACUGUACAGUCCUGUUCUAAUCAUGCUGGGGAGCACAGUGGAUAAGUAGGGAAAAGGGGAUUCUGAGGACUUGACUUUCCUGCCUUCAGAUACACACAUUCCUGGAUCUUCACAUUCCGGCUAAUCUUGUAAGCUGAUAAUUUUAUUUUUAAAAAAGGAAGUAAUACUAUUCAUCGAUGCAACUGCAAUUCAGUCUUUUUCAAUUCUUCAAUACUGGGGAUAAGGCUGUUAAAGACAGAACUGGCAGCUGACGAUACGAUUACUCAUUUAUUCUUUAGGAAACACAUUUAUUAAUAACUAAAGCAGAAUUAAUAUUGAUUAUUUCCUUAGCUGAUUGAUGCAGGACUGGACCACUUUCUCUCUGUUUCAAGUUGCUGUGGUGGUAAGGAAUAAAAAACUCAGAACUCCCCCACCUUCAACUAUCGAAAAGGCACAAGGAAAAGGAUUUGGACAGCUGCUGGUCUCCAGGAAACUCCACAAGCAGAGAUCGUCAGCCCUGUAAUCCUAAUUACAUCCUUGGGGACUGACAGAGAAGACAGACCUGAACACACAUCAGUGCAGGCAGGAACAGCAACACCGUUUGACAGCCCGUCUUCUCAGCUGCUCUUUUCCGUUCCAGAGCACACAAAUGUAUUUUUCAAUCUAUCUCCUGUGGUCGUGGGAGAAAAAUAACCCUUCAGCUGUGUGUGAUUAAAAAGGGCAAUGCUUGAGUUUGCAAGCAGCCUGAAAAGGACUGGUAGAGGUUUGGGAGCUUGCCUGUCCCUGUGAGCUGUGUACCAAGGCCUUCUGAAGGGAUGUCACUUAGCUGCAUCUUUGCCUUCAUUAAGAGAGGACAACCAUAAGUAGAAAUGGGCACUGUGUACUUAAUGUGACCUCUGAAUAUGUGAUGAUGACAUGAAGAGCUGCCCCAGACUGAAAACCCUGACGCAAGAGCUCAGAUGUGAUUGCACCUGGGGCAUCUGCAUACCAAGUAAUUUCCAGAGAAAGUUAUUUUAUUUGUGAAAGAAAUUUACUUUCUCAAAAAGUAACAACCUAUAUUGCUUUUUGUUUCUUCUCUCUUUCCCUUGAGGCAGCAGGGUUUCCCCCAGAAUAUCUCACUCUCAUGGCCUCGUCUAUUUUGUCAUCACGUGAGAAGCUCACAAAUGAAAUCCACUGUCAGAGUCUUCUGCCGGAAUCAGAACCCUUCAUUCCAAGAGGAUGGAUCAACAGAUCACCUUUGGCUCACCAAGAGAAUCAAAGAAUCACAGAAUGAUGGGUUGGAAAGGACCUCAAAGAUCAUCCAGUUCCAGCCCCCUGCCAUGAGCUCCCCCAGCCACCAAAUCAGUCUCUAGAGCAGGCUGCCCAUGGCCCCGUCCAUUCUGGUCUUGGGCACCUCCAGGGAUGGGGCACCCACAACAACUCUGAGCGACCUGUACCAACACGAACCUCUCUUUUACUCACAAAAAAAGUGCAGUGCUUUGGGCAAUGGCCUCCUGGAAAGCAUCUGGAGAGGCAGCAGGUAUUGCACAUACACACAGACAGAGUCAAACCAGAGGCAUUUGCACAUCUGAGACCUUACAGCAUUAUUCCAUCUCCAGCUCAUUUAAAGCACAGGUGAGAAGCUGUGGCAAAUGCUCUGGAAACGACACAGAUCAUCAUGCUCUACAGUUUGUCCCCAGACAGCAUCCUGUCCAACGCGUGGUUUGCCAGAUGCAUUUAAAAAGCUUCCCUGGCCUUCAGCAAGGAAAAGAGAAAACAAGGAAGAACACCUGUUUUAAGGAAUAGCAGCAAUUCUGGAGAGCAUAUGCAGAGGCUUCCAGAGGGGUUUUAAAAUGGGCUUGUCAAGCAACAUAAAUGGAACUGUUAUUCCUAAAGUUUAUUCUGAGAUUUAUGCAUACUUAACCCAUAAACCCACAGCAAACAAACACUGCAUAAAAGCCCCAUGGGUAAACAGAAAUAACAAAGCCCACAUAGAUCGCUAUGGUUGCAUUGGAGGAAAUCUCUUUGGAAGAGGCUGCUUGACUCACGCUCAACCUUUCUGCCCAUGCACAGCUUCCUAUAGCAUGCAGGAGGAUAUAUUUCAUCUGGUGGGGGCUCUGAUGCCUGUCCAGCAAAUCCACGAUGCCAAGCUAAACCUUCGCCUGGUUAUUAGUGCUUGAAAGGGUAAGGUGUUAUGAGUGUUACUCUCUGGAACCAGGAAUGAAAGCUUCCAUCCACCCUGCUGCUGCUGAGCUGCCUCCAGCCCAGCUUGGAGCCUUCACUCUGGGGGAAAAGAGGAAACCAUCUGGCCUUGUGGGAUGCCUAAAGCGCUCAGUCUUUUAGCCAGAAAGCUGCUCUUACAGAAAGCUGUACUGCGUGAUGACUACAGGACAUCGCCGUGACCUGAGCAACCCUGUGUAGCUUCAAAGCUGAUCUUCCUUUGGCUGGCACCAGAGGGUCUCCAGAAGUCCCUUCCAAGAUAAAUAUUAUGUGGUUGUUACGACUGCUUUGGCAUAGAAAUCCCAGUAUUCAUAAGAUGAUAAAUCCCAGAGGUAGGCUCCGAUGUGCAAGCAGCUGAUGGCACAGCAUGGCCCUGCCCUAGGAAGCAGCACAGACUGGGAAGCAAACAAACUGGGGAGAUUGGAGAUAAGAAAGAGGAUUUUUAUGACAAAUGUGAUGAGGCACUAGAACAAGUUGCCCAGAGAUGCAAUACAACCUAUCUGUGGAGACAUUCAAGGUCAAGCUGGACAGGGGCUUUGAGCACCUGAUGGAGCUGUAGCUGUCCCUGUUCAUUGCAGGGGAGUUGGAUCAGAUGGCGCUUAAGGGUCCCUUUCAACUCAAACAAUUCUACGUUAUGGAUCCCUUCUAACAAAAUAAAAUAAAAUCCCGAAAUAAACCAGAAAUCCCUUUGAAGGACAUCCACAUCUUAACAUGAGAGGUUGGCAGGUAGCAACAGAGCUGCAGUAAAUUCCUGCAGACCUCCAGGCUUAUUUACAAGGCAUCUCAGGCACUAUAAAUGGCUUUUAUUUUUGUGAAACAUGCCAGGAAAGGAGGGGGGGAGCUAGACAAAGGAAGGAGGGCUUUGCUUGAGAAGACACCCAAACAAGCUAGGAUGAAGAAGCUGUACAAUGCCCUGGAUGAGCAUCAGGCCCACGUCCCGCUCCCCUGCGGAUCAUGGCUGGGAACAAGAGGCAGUGAGAACACUCAUUACUAUUGACCUUGUCCUCAUGCUGAUGCUAAAAAGCUGCUUCUCUACCCGCUUUAGGUGACCCUGACACGAGCCUUGAAGGAACAUCAGUAAGAGAUAUCCCAAUUAAAUCUAUUUGGAAGCAAUUCAGCACAUAUUUUCCCCUUUCCAAGACAGCAAGGCUGUGACUAACCAAAGACAUUUGGGAGAAGUUUUUGCUUUCCCUGGGCACAGAAUUUUGUUUUUAUUUCUUUCCUCCUUUAUAUUGGUGGGGGGGGGAAGGAUACCUGGACCAUUUCUGCAGCCCUUCUUCUCUUCCUUAGUGUGACUCUAUCCUUUAUUUUCAUUUUUUCACAAGCUCAGCCCCAAACUCAUUAGAGAGUAAAACCCUCCCUAGAAAUAUAGGCAAAAGAAAAAAAGGAAAAAAAAUAAGAAUCCUCAGUUUAUAAGCAAGCCUACACAGCUCAGGUGGUGUCAAAAAAGAGUUUGCAAGUCCAUCCUAUGAGCUCACCUACUGCCAUUGCUUGGUAUUGCAUACACUCAAUACCAAACUCCUUCCCAUAUCAGUUAGAGGACCCCAACCAGAUGUUAGCCCUAAGCCAAUUGCACACCUAGCCAACUGUGUGCUGCUUUACCUUCAGAGCUAGAAAUGAUUCUUGCUGACUGCUACAAAAUCCUGCAUGUUUGGGCAUACCAGAAACACAUUUACCCUUUAUCAGAUUAGUCUUACAAUAGUCCUUUCCAUAUAUUCCGAUUAGAUGCAUUUAUCACACACACACAAAAAAAGUAACAUCUAAAGGCUCUUUAUAAUAAACCUUAUUUAAAUCUACCCCACACUUUGGUUAAUUGUUUCUGAGUUAAGGAGCAGCUUUUUCCAUGAACAAUAGCAACGUGGGAAGAUUUCAGCACAUCACAGGAAACCUUGGGAGGAAGCAACCAAGACGAGCUGGAUGGAGAGCUCAUUUUGGUCCUUCCAGCUUCCUUUUCCAAUUCUUUUUUUACUGUCUAGGACUCUGGAAGUUUUGAUGCCAUCUCAGGAAUAAAAAAAUCUGUGUGUACAGACUACAAUAAUAACUGAAAAGACUAUCGUCUUGCGGCUCUGUGUAUUCUACAACAAUGAGCACUUCAACAAAUAUAAAUAAAAACAGCUUUUCCUCUUCUGACUUGUCCCAUGGAGAUUUCGUUGGGCCUCCACAUAAUCCACGGGAUUUCUGAAGCUUUUAGUUUUAACCAAGUAAUUUGUACGACUGCCCGAGACGCUUCCAAAUGUGCAGUAACUGGAUUUUGGUACGCUCCCAACCGCCUAAUUAAAACCAUAGAAUAGAAUCAUUGGGCUUAGGUGAUUUUUAAUUCUUCUUUCUUCCUCCUUUUAUUUUUUAAUCAAAAGAAACCUUCUGAGUCACAUAUCCAGGGGAUUAUUCCAAACAGCACUUUGGAAAGGGCACACACUGGAAAUCCUAUAUAGCAGCAGAGGAGAGUUGUCACGCAUGUGUGUAGAGCUCGUUUAGACUGGAUGCCAAAGGUUACGGUACACACAGGAAAAAAUCAAAUUACUUAUGAUCCUCUUCUUACUGCAUCCCUGUCAGAAUGAUGUAAUGAGGAAAAGAAGAUUUCCCCUUCCAAAGUCUUAACGAGGAUUUUGGAACAACUGAUGAAGGAGCAGCGCUAGGGGAGCCCAGUGUUGAGGAGCACCAGCAAACAGUGCACAGCUAAGCCUCACACCUCAUGGGAGAUCUCCUCCUUCAGAGGACCCCAACAGCCUGCUGCAGACUACCCUUCACAGGGGUAAACUCAAGCAACAAAAUGCAAGAGAUUUUCUCCAACAGAUGCAGCCUAUUUGGAAACAGCAGCCCGUGAACAAGACGUGGCUUCUCUCCUUGCUGUGUCGAUACAGCCAGCAAUCAAGAUCUGGGCCUUUUAUUGUAAUUGUUCAGCACAAUAACACAGAUUGAAGUUUGGUUUUCGCGGUAUCUGGCUAGGCAUGUCGACCUGAUGUGGAUCAAAGGCUACAUGGUAGAAUUAAGCAAAUAUAAUCAGUGUAAUAUGAUUCAUUCUUGUCCUGCUGAGCAGAUGUUUGAACAGAUGUCAGGUGAAAAAAAAAUAUGUGCUGGGGAGUUAGCGCAUUAUUUUAAAUUAGUGCAUUUAAGAGACAGGAGUAUCUUUGUUAAUCCCGCUGAAGGUGAAAGCGAGUAUUUAUGACUUUGGUUGCUGGGAAGUUAUCCUCCCUUUGCCUUUUAGUGGCCAGCACUCUCCAGUUUCCCUAUCAGGAAGACAGCAGUGCUGGUGGGCUAGGAUAUUGGCCCAUCAGCUUGCUCGGCUUAGUUCUCCAUCAUCUUGGGAAGGAGCAUCUGAUGUGCUAAGUAAAGAGAGGGUUAAAUAUGGAGUCACUAUUGGCCUGUUAUGUGGAGAAGGUGGUCAGUUUGGAUUGCUAUACAGUUCCCAUCAUUAUACUGGGAGCUUGCUGCAGCACUUGUUCUCUGAUAAAAACACUUACAAAAAACAAGCUUUUUUCUGGCAUUUCUUGGUCAGAGCUAAAA